rnacentral:rRNA from 1 species
AGGUGGCAAGCGUUGUCCGGAUUUAUUGGGCGUAAAGCGAGCGCAGGCGGUUUCUUAAGUCUGAUGUGAAAGCCCCCGGCUCAACCGGGGAGGGUCAUUGGAAACUGGGAGACUUGAGUGCAGAAGAGGAGAGUGGAAUUCCAUGUGUAGCGGUGAAAUGCGUAGAUAUAUGGAGGAACACCAGUGGCGAAGGCGGCUCUCUGGUCUGUAACUGACGCUGAGGCACGAAAGUGCGGGGAUCAA